AGGACGAACGCUGGCGGCGUGCCUAACACAUGCAAGUCGAACGAGGUCCAACCGGUGGCAACACUGGUGAAGACCGAGUGGCGAACGGGUGAGUAACACGUGAGCAACCUGCCUCGAAGACUGGGAUAACCCCGGGAAACCGGAGCUAAUACCGGAUACCCCCACCGGGUCGCAUGGCCUGGUGAGGAAAUGGAUUCCGCUUUGAGAGGGGCUCGCGGCCUAUCAGCUUGAUGGUGGGGUAAUGGCCUACCAUGGCACCGACGGGUAGCUGGUCUGAGAGGACGAUCAGCCACACUGGGACUGAGACACGGCCCAGACUCCUACGGGAGGCAGCAGUGGGGAAUCUUGCGCAAUGGGCGAAAGCCUGACGCAGCAACGCCGCGUGUGGGACGAAGGCCCUCUGGGUUGUAAACCACUUUCAGCAGGGACGAGUUGUGACGGUACCUGCAGAGAGCCCGGCACUACGUGCCAGCAGCCGCGGU
rnacentral:rRNA from 1 species